rnacentral:rRNA from 1 species
ACGAACGCUGGCGGCGUGCCUAAUACAUGCAAGUCGAACGAACCGCGACUAGGUGCUUGCACUUGGUCAAGGUGAGUGGCGAACGAGUGAGUAACACGUGGGUAACCUACCUCAUAGUGGGGGAUAACAGUCGGAAACGACUGCUAAUACCGCAUAGGACAUAGGAUCACAUGAUUCUGUGAGGAAAGGUGGCGCAAGCUAUCGCUAAGAGAUGGACCCGCGGUGCAUUAGCUAGUUGGUAGGGUAAAGGCCUACCAAGGCGAUGAUGCAUAGCCGACCUGAGAGGGUGAUCGGCCACAUUGGGACUGAGACACGGCCCAAACUCCUACGGGAGGCAGCAGUAGGGAAUCUUCCGCAAAGGACGCAAGUCUGACGGAGCAACGCCGCGUGAGUGAAGAAGGUCUUCGGAUCGUAAAGCUCUGUUGUUAGAGAAGAACAGCGCAUAGAGUAACUGUUAUGCGUGUGACGGUAUCUAACCAGAAAGCCACGGCUAACUACGUG